GCCAGAGUAGCACAGCGGUUAGUGUGUCCGACUAAGACCUGGGAGACCAAGGUUUGAAGCCCAUGAAGCUCUUGCUGGGGCG